rnacentral:tRNA from 9 species
GGGCGCGUAGCUCAGUGGUAGAGCACACCCUUCACACGGGUGGGGUCACAGGUUCAAUCCCUGUCGCGCCCACCA